rnacentral:rRNA from 1 species
GCACAAGCAGUGGAGUAUGUGGUUUAAUUCGAAGCAACGCGAAGAACCUUACCUGGGCUUGACAUCCCUGGAAUCGAGUAGAGAUACUUGAGUGCCUUCGGGAAUCAGGUGACAGGUGGUGCAUGGUUGUCGUCAGCUCGUGUCGUGAGAUGUUGGGUUAAGUCCCGCAACGAGCGCAACCCCUAUUGUCAGUUGCCAUCAUUAAGUUGGGCACUCUGGCGAGACUGCCGUUGACAAAA